UGAGAGAUUUUGGGCUCCAAAGUUUGAGGACAGGUGUGUACAAACAGAGGCUACAUGUCAGGAAUUAGGGGCUGCAUCUCAGGCAAUUGGGGCUCCAAAGUGUGAGGACAGGUGUGUACAAACAGAGGCUACAUGUCAGGAAUUAGGGGCUGCAUCUCAGGCAA